rnacentral:rRNA from 1 species
GACGAACGCUGGCGGCGUGCUUAACACAUGCAAGUCGAACGGAAAGGCCCUGCUUUUGUGGGGUGCUCGAGUGGCGAACGGGUGAGUAACACGUGAGUAACCUGCCCUUGACUUUGGGAUAACUUCAGGAAACUGGGGCUAAUACCGGAUAGGAGCUCCUGCUGCAUGGUGGGGGUUGGAAAGUUUCGGCGGUUGGGGAUGGACUCGCGGCUUAUCAGCUUGUUGGUGGGGUAGUGGCUUACCAAGGCUUUGACGGGUAGCCGGCCUGAGAGGGUGACCGGCCACAUUGGGACUGAGAUACGGCCCAGACUCCUACGGGAGGCAGCAGUGGGGAAUAUUGCACAAUGGGCGGAAGCCUGAUGCAGCAACGCCGCGUGCGGGAUGACGGCCUUCGGGUUGUAAACCGCUUUCGCCUGUGACGAAGCGUGAGUGACGGUAAUGGGUAAAGAAGCACCGGCUAACUACGUGCCAGCAGCCGCGGUGAUACGUAGGGUGCGAGCGUUGUCCGGAUUUAUUGGGCGUAAAGGGCUCGUAGGUGGUUGAUCGCGUCGGAAGUGUAAUCUUGGGGCUUAACCCUGAGCGUGCUUUCGAUACGGGUUGACUUGAGGAAGGUAGGGGAGAAUGGAAGUCCUGGUGGAGCGGUGGAAUGCGCAGAUAUCAGGAGGAACACCAGUGGCGAAGGCGGUUCUCUGGGCCUUUCCUGACGCUGAGGAGCGAAAGCGUGGGGAGCGAACAGGCUUAGAUACCCUGGUAGUCCACGCUGUAAACGGUGGGUACUAGGUGUGGGGUCCAUUCCACGGGUUCCGUGCCGUAGCUAACGCUUUAAGUACCCCGCCUGGGGAGUACGGCCGCAAGGCUAAAACUCAAAGGAAUUGACGGGGCCCCGCACAAGCGGCGGAGCAUGCGGAUUAAUUCGAUGCAACGCGUAGAACCUUACCUGGGUUUGACAUGGAUCGGGAGUGCUCAGAGAUGGGUGUGCCUCUUUUGGGGUCGGUUCACAGGUGGUGCAUGGCUGUCGUCAGCUCGUGUCGUGAGAUGUUGGGUUAAGUCCCGCAACGAGCGCAACCCUUGUUCACUGUUGCCAGCACGUUAUGGUGGGGACUCAGUGGAGACCGCCGGGGUCAACUCGGAGGAAGGUGGGGAUGACGUCAAGUCAUCAUGCCCCUUAUGUCCAGGGCUUCACGCAUGCUACAAUGGCUGGUACAGAGAGUGGCGAGCCUGUGAGGGUGAGCGAAUCUCGGAAAGCCGGUCUCAGUUCGGAUUGGGGUCUGCAACUCGACCUCAUGAAGUCGGAGUCGCUAGUAAUCGCAGAUCAGCAACGCUGCGGUGAAUACGUUCCCGGG